CGUUAUGGCAGCUGUGCGCGGGAGGCCUUUGGCCUACCGGGUUUCUCGAUGUCCGGUUUUCCACCCCGCGUACAGCUGCCACCCUU
rnacentral:antisense_RNA from 1 species